UACGUAGGGUGCAAGCGUUAAUCGGAAUUACUGGGCGUAAAGCGUGCGCAGGCGGUUGUGCAAGACGGAUGUGAAAUCCCCGGGCUUAACCUGGGAAUUGCAUUCGUGACUGCACGGCUAGAGUGUGUCAGAGGGGGGUAGAAUUCCACGUGUAGCAGUGAAAUGCGUAGAUAUGUGGAGGAAUACCGAUGGCGAAGGCAGCCCCCUGGGAUAACACUGACGCUCAUGCACGAAAGCGUGGGGGAGCAAACAGG
rnacentral:rRNA from 1 species